AUUGAACGCUGGCGGCAGGCCUAACACAUGCAAGUCGAGCGGAUGAAGGGAGCUUGCUCCUGGAUUCAGCGGCGGACGGGUGAGUAAUGCCUAGGAAUCUGCCUGGUAGUGGGGGAUAACGUCCGGAAACGGGCGCUAAUACCGCAUACGUCCUGAGGGAGAAAGUGGGGGAUCUUCGGACCUCACGCUAUCAGAUGAGCCUAGGUCGGAUUAGCUAGUUGGUGGGGUAAAGGCCUACCAAGGCGACGAUCCGUAACUGGUCUGAGAGGAUGAUCAGUCACACUGGAACUGAGACACGGUCCAGACUCCUACGGGAGGCAGCAGUGGGGAAUAUUGGACAAUGGGCGAAAGCCUGAUCCAGCCAUGCCGCGUGUGUGAAGAAGGUCUUCGGAUUGUAAAGCUCUUUAAGUUGGGAGGAAGGGCAGUAAGGUAAUACCUUGCUGUUUUGACGUUACCAACAGAAUAAGCACCGGCUAACUUCGUG
rnacentral:rRNA from 1 species